rnacentral:hammerhead_ribozyme from 1 species
AUCCAGAUGAAGAGUCCCAAAUAGGACGAAACAUAUGUCCAUGAU